UACGGAGGGGCAAGCGUUAUUCGGAAUCAUUGGGCGUAAAGGGCGCGUAGGCGGCCUGCUAAGUCGAACGUGAAAUCCCUGGGCUCAACCCAGGAACUGCGUCCGAUACUGGCAGGCUUGAAUCCGGGAGAGGGAUGCGGAAUUCCAGGUGUAGCGGUGAAAUGCGCAGAUAUCAGGAGGAACACCGGUGGCGAAGGCGGGUCUCUGGGCCGAUACUGACGCUGAGGAGCGAAAGCGUGGGGAGCGAACAGG
rnacentral:rRNA from 1 species